rnacentral:rRNA from 1 species
GGGGAAUAUUGCGCAAUGGGGGCAACCCUGACGCAGCCAUGCCGCGUGAAUGAAGAAGGCCUUCGGGUUGUAAAGUUCUUUCGGUAGCGAGGAAGGCAUUUAGUUUAGUAGACUAGGUGAUUGACGUUAACUACAGAAGAAGCACCGGCUAACUCCGUGCCAGCAGCCGCGGUAAUACGGAGGGUGCGAGCGUUAAUCGGAAUAACUGGGCGUAAAGGGCACGCAGGCGGUGACUUAAGUGAGGUGUGAAAGCCCCGGGCUUAACCUGGGGAUUGCAUUUCAUACUGGGUCGCUAGAGUACUUUAGGGAGGGGUAGAAUUCCACGUGUAGCGGUGAAAUGCGUAGAGAUGUGGAGGAAUACCGAAGGCGAAGGCAGCCCCUUGGGAAUGUACUGACGCUCAUGUGCGAAAGCGUGGGGAGCAAACAGGAUUAGAUACCCUGGUAGUCCACGCUGUAAACGAUGUCGAUUUGGGGGUUGAGCUUUAAGUUUGGCGCCCGUAGCUAACGUGAUAAAUCGACCGCCUGGGGAGUACGGCCGCAAGGUUA